rnacentral:lncRNA from 1 species
UCUACAGUUUCUCAUAAAUGGCAUGGUCCUAGGUGUCGGCGGCUUAUUGGAACAGAGCAGAAAGGCUCGGGGAGGGGCGUCCAUGAUGCCUAGAUCGCUGGCAGCCAAAGGCUAAAAUGAUAGUUGACCCAGGAACAGAUAUUGAUAAUAUGCUGUCGAGUGUCCAGAGAAAAGAGCAAUCUGCCUGGUGAAGGGAGGGGAGGAUAAGCCAGAGGCAGAUUGAGCUGGAGAAAAGUAAACAGUAGGGUGGAACUAGAGCCUUGAAUACUAGAGGCAAGCCAGAAACGACCCUGAUGGAGACAGUCCAGGAUCCUGAAUCCAAGAGUACUGGGGACAGCAGUGCUCCUAGCACAGUGUCAAAUGAUUCAAUAUCAGAAAGCUAUUUCUUGAGACAAAGAAGAAAGAAGAAAGCAGAGGAAAAAAAAGUAGUUCUGUAAAACUUACCUAGCUACCCGCUGAGUCUGGAUUCAUUUGUAAUAUUCCACACAUCUUUAGUCCUCUAGUUCUGCAAAGAAGAAAAGGAGAUGCAUUUUCUUCUCUUCUCUGGGACCAAGCAUGAUCAUUAUUGCCUUACUCUGCAUUAAUUCAUACAAAUCUUCCCAUACUUUUUGGAAUUCUUCAGUUACUUCAGUCAUGCCCAACUUUUUGUGACCCCAUUUGGGCUUUUCUUGGUAAAGAUACUGGAGUGGUUUCCUAUUUCCUUCUCCAGCUUAUUUUACAGAUGAGAAAACUGAGGCAAACAGGGUUAAAUGAUUUGCCCAAGGUCACAAAGCUAGUAAGUAUCCGAAGUCAUAUUUGAACUCAGGUCUUCCUGACUUCAAGCCUACUGCUUUAUUCACUCUGCGUAAUUCUUUUUAUGGCAUAAUAAUAUUCCAUUGAGGCAGCUAGGUGAUAGAGUGGAUAGAGUAUUGGACCUGGAGUCCAGAAGAUAAGAGUUUAAAUCCACUUAACCUUUGUUUGCCUCAGUUUCUUCCACUAUAAAAUGGAGAUAAUAACAGUAUCUACUUCACAGAGUUGUGAGGAUCAAAUAAGAUAAUAUUUCUAAAGUAUUUAACAUAAUGUCUGGUGCAUAAUAUGUGCUAUAUAAAUGUUCUCCCUUCCUUCCCUUCCACUUACCACAAUAUGUCUAAACAUCCCUCAAUCAUUGGACAUUUUCUCUGU